AUUGAACGCUGGCGGCAGGCCUAACACAUGCAAGUCGAGCGGAUGAAGGGAGCUUGCUCCUGGAUUCAGCGGCGGACGGGUGAGUAAUGCCUAGGAAUCUGCCUGGUAGUGGGGGAUAACGUCCGGAAACGGGCGCUAAUACCGCAUACGUCCUGAGGGAGAAAGUGGGGGAUCUUCGGACCCCACGCUAUCAGAUGAGCCUAGGUCGGAUUAGCUAGUUGGUGGGGUAAAGGCCUACCAAGGCGACGAUCCGUAACUGGUCUGAGAGGAUGAUCAGUCACACUGGAACUGAGACACGGUCCAGACUCCUACGGGAGGCAGCAGUGGGGAAUAUUGGACAAUGGGCGAAAGCCUGAUCCAGCCAUGCCGCGUGUGUGAAGAAGGUCUUCGGAUUGUAAAGCACUUUAAGUUGGGAGGAAGGGCAGUAAGUUAAUACCUUGCUGUUUUGACGGUACCAACAGAAUAAGCACCGGCUAACUUCGUG
rnacentral:rRNA from 1 species